AAUAAUCAAGAUAAUCAACUAAACUAGAUCCUGCAGGAGUUGCUUUUUUUAGUGUGGUGUCAAAGAAAGCAGAGCAUCUCUUUACUAUGGACAGACCUCUCCCCAUCUUUACAACCAUUGAAUCUAUCCGUUUUGACCAUGACAGUUUUCAAUCCAAGCUGAGGACUUCCUUGUUGCCAUUCAGUUUGUCGUCGGAGAUAAGAGCAAUUGCAGAAGCGCUUUCUUUCAUCAAAGAACGGGCGCGGUUUCCUUGGGCUUGUUGAUGUCAAAUUGUGGAUUAAGGAGAAUGUUGCAGCUGUGCCCUCCUCUGCCGUCGCUAACAUUCUAUCCAUGAGUACCUCGGACAGUGAAGAGGACAGCCCAGGUUGCAUCCGAGAUACCUGUUAUGGGUGUAAGAUGGCACAGUGAUGCCAUCUGUUGGUAAAUGUUCAUUAGUGCAACUCUUGUGUUUUACCGGGGUGCUUGAGAUACCCGGAUGUGUUGUGACGUACUGAACAAGACUGGUUACUCGCAUCAAUGCUUCUGUCUCGUCAUUUAACGUUCAAACUUGGUGUCAGAAGUGGGAUAACUAACCAUGCUUUCUGCAAAUUAGAGUCACCUGCUCUGGUUUACCAUUCAAACAAUACCGUCUGUGCCAUUUUACCAACAAGACCCCGACCAAACCCAGCCUGCAGACAAGGAGCCCAAGGAUACAAGGAAUCGCAAUCUCCUCACCUCCUUUGCAAAUGUAUUGGAAGAGAUGGUCCAAGGUCGCUCCCUGGACCCUCCUCAACGCAUUUUGAGAAGUCGGGGAGAGAAUUUGGCGCCCUGCAAUUUCACUGGCUGUUGGCGAGGUGGGACGCUAGUGUCCCGAACGAUCCCAGAGAGGUUUAGACAUGAAGGGAGGUAUUUAAAACCUACAACAUGGCCAUGGAUUACCCCACAGUAGCCAUCAUCUAGAACUUUGGGGCGGUGGGAAUGAUCUGCAUACACUGGAAGAGGCCCCUGCAGCUGCAGCAGGCCUACCUCAUCGCCAUCUCAGCCCUCUUGGCCCUGGUGUUCAUCAAGUACCUGCCCGAGUGGUCAUCCUGGGAGCCAUCUCUGUCUACGAUUUGGUUGCAGUUUUGUGCCCCAAAGGUCCUCUAAGGAUGCUUGUGGAGACAGCACAGGAGUGUAACGAGCCCACCUUCCCUGCACUCUUAUAUUCAUGGACAGUGCACAUGAAUCAACGUUUCAGUAAAAGUGCCGGUUUUAGCCAGCCGGCUAAUUUUCAACCGCAGUCCCUGGGCAGGUUAUUAAAAACAUGUUCAUGGGACUCUGCCUCACUCUGCUGCUGCUGGCCAUAUGCAAGAAGGAGAUUGGGGGGCCAUCACCUUCGGCCUGGUCUUCUAUAGAUAACCUGGUUCGCCCCUUUAUGGACAACCUCGCUGCCCAUCAGUUCUACAUCUGACUUCCCCUCUGGGGGUCAAUAGAAUGCACAACACCCCCCCCCCCCACACGCCUGUAAUGUUUUACUCCAAUGGUAGUAUAAGCAAGGAUUUGAUUGGGGGGGGGGGGUGCUAUAAUGCCUUUUAAUCAAAUUUAGUAUAUUUUGCUAACAGGUCACCACAAAUGGGGGUCAAAUGCAUCAAGGAUUGUUUCAUGGGGUCUUCAACGUGGCAGGUGUAUCUGUCUGUUAUUUUCCAGAUAUAGGAUGGCGUCAAUUUGUUUCUUCUCAUUAGAUAGGUCAAUUUUGAUAAGAUGCAGGUCAGAAAAACAGGACAUUGUGAAUGAUCAGGAGAAAUCACAUUUGUAUUACGCACUAUAGAUCAUUUUGAAUUAGGCAUUUAUGUCCCACUCAAAGAUAACUCUGAAAUUGGGAAAAUUAUAAUUCCCUUUUAGUGUGAGAUUUAUGUUUUUACUCCUGGAAUUUGCCUGUUCAGGUGGGAUGUAGUUUUUGGCCCCCACAGCAUGACAUCACAAUCCGAUCGGAUUAUUCUGACCAAUAACCUGUUCACAAAAAUGGUUAGCUCCUACAGACAGUGACUCUGUCUGUCUGGGGCUUGCUAUAUAAAGCAGGCAUCGAGGUCAGUGUAUUUGGUGUUAUUUUCAUGAAAUAAAGUUGUUGUUUUUUUACACUGAUUUUAAUGUCUCGAAAGCAGAAAGUCUGUCUUCACUUCUAACCCCCAUUCCCCUUAUGUAAAUAAGCAAGACAAUCAAGCAGAUUCAAAUGAAAGUUAUUUUUGAGGCACUCUAUUCGUCAACAAUUGAUUUAAUCUUGUAUGACUUGUAGGAAAUUAUUUAACUUUACAUUUUCUAAUAGUUGGUUUGAAACCAAAUGGAAGUCAAAUCAUACACUCUCUAUUUUGAUAAUUGCUGCUAUGUAUGGUGAAGGUGUAGGAUUGGGGGAGAGGCUGAUGCUAGAUCUGUACCUAGGGGAAACAUCCCGGAGAGCCUGAAAACAGAAACUAAACAUGGUGGUCCAAACUAGCCUGAAAUCCAAACAGAUAUUCUCUGUUCAUCAGUUUGUAUUGCAGUCUAGGUUCUAAAUGCUCACUGAAGACCAAAACUUGCCGGUAGCUUAAAGCUAAAAUACUGGCAUGCUGUUUGAACGCAACGAAAGUGUGUAGUCUUUAUAUUGAAGAUAUAUUUUAUAGAAUGUAAUGCUGUAACGUUUUAUAUUAAUACACUUAAAUGAAGUUUGAUGGAUUUUCUGUUGUGCAAUAAAGUGGUACUUCUGCUAAAUGAAUUCCAAGAGCACAAAUCUAACAAUGGAUGAAAGGGUGCUUCUGACGAUUAAUCUUAAUGGUUGUACAGUCGUCUCAAAUAAAACUGUGAAGGACCUCGGCGUUACU